GACGAACACUGGCGGCGUGCCUAAUACAUGCAAGUCGAGCGGAGCGGCGGACGGGUGAGUAAUGCCUAGGAAUCUGCCUGGUAGUGGGGGAUAACGUCCGGAACCGGGCGCUAAUACCGCAUACUAUCAGAUGAGCCUAGGUCGGAUUAGCUAGUUGGGUGGGUAAAGGCCUACCAAGGCGACGAUCCGUAACUGGUCUGAGAGGAUGAGCAGUCACACGGGAACUGAGACACGGUCCAGACUCCUACGGGAGGCAGCAGUGGGGAAUAUUGGACAAUGGGCGAAAGCCUGAUCCAGCCAUGCCGCGUGUGUGAAGAAGGUCUUCGGAUUGUAAAGCACUUUAAGUUGGGAGGCGUUACCAAAAGAAUAAGCACCGGCUAACUUCGUGCCAGUAGCCGCGGUAAUAC
rnacentral:rRNA from 1 species